GUUGGGUCCUUCGCAUUAUUCU
rnacentral:snRNA from 1 species